rnacentral:lncRNA from 1 species
AUACACACACAAGCGUGACCCCUAAAUCCAAAAUCCCUAAAUCAAACGCGGAUUGUUCUUCUUCUCCGAAGAACACGCAAACCAAGCCUCAAUUUUAGUCCUAAUCCAAAGCGAGUAAGCCUCAAAUAUAUCCUCACAUGUUCCUUCUUCUCUCCUCAUCACCAUUUCUAACGAUCUCUGACGCCAAUAUUCCCCUCUCCUUUCAAAAAAGAGCUCGAUCUGAUUUUGAAAGGGGGACUCGGAAAAAUUUGGAAAAAAAGAGGGGUUGAAAGGUUUCUAAAAGGGAACUUCUGGUUUUCAGAUUCUUUUUUUUUUCUUUGAAGAGUUCAUUCAAGGUUUAAGGGGAACAUAUAUACAAUUUUUUUAUUUUUUUGAAUCCGAUUUUUCUUUGAAUGCCUAGGAGACAUAUAUGAAUGAAGAUCGUUCAAGUGGUGGUUAUAUUUAAAUUCAUCAAUUUCGAUUUUCUACUGUUGUCUGUCUAGUUGUUGUUGAACCUCGUUAGGAUUUGGAGUCGAAAGGUGUGUUGUCGAGUCUGUAAUUAUUACAAAAAGUUUGAAAUAUCAGGUAAAAUUUCUUUUCUCUUCUACAUUUCUAUUUUAAUGUGGUUUGAACUGUGAGAUUUUGCUCAAUGGUAUUGUGUUCCGUGAUGGAAUUUUUGUUGAUGAAUUUCUUCUCAACGGUAUGAUGUGCUUGAGUAUAUCCAACAAGUAGAAGCUGAGUCUAAAAGGUUGUCCUCUAUGCUUUAAUUGUUAUUUGGUGUCAAGCUGUCACUAUCAAGUCAAGAUGUCAUCGUUUUUUAAAUGAAUGAUGAGUUCAGCUUUGAAAAUCUCAAGCGAGCAUGAAACUAUGAGGUUACUUCUCAUUAUGUGUGUUUUCCGGACUCUAAAUGAUCUGUUCCCAUGAGAUCGUUGUAGUUAUCAGAACUUUUUCUUUGGGCUAGAAUUCAAAGAAUUGUUUAAUUUCCUUUUUUUUUACUAUUUGCCCUGUUCUUGCUUGUCUGGAGCAUCUGAAGCUCUCCUCAACAGUAUGUGAUCCUUAUCGCUUAUCAUUUGAGAUGACCAGUGAGGUUCAUGUUUCCAAUAAUCAUUUCUUCUUGUUGAACUUCUGAAAACAGAAUUUAACAUGCAACUUGUUAGUGUGUGUUUUGUUUCCUUAGAAAGCAGCCGGUGUCUGUUAGCUUUUCUUGAAUCUUUUCUCAUGUUGAAGCAUAAAGGAUGAGAUUCCAUUCCCUGACUAAAUUGUUAAAUGCUUUGUUUUAACCGAUGGUUAAGGCCUGUUGUUUUAUCUUGGUUUUGUCUUAUAGAAGUUGGCAGUGUCUAGCCCGAGCUAGCGACUAAGUCACGAGGUUGAAAUCAAGGAAAGUGUUUCUUUUACUGCCAUGUUGUUUGAAAGCACAUGUGUAUAUUGUUGAAUCCCUGUUUAUGAAUCUGUGUCGACUUGUGAAAGAGAUAGAUAAGUUAGUUUAAUGAGGAGAUGAGUUCGGAGAUGGAUUGCUGGAUGAACAUCCUAAUUAUGCUUGGGUUAACUUUGAUUUUAUUGAUAGUUCUUGUGUGGAAUGAUAACAAGAUGAAUGUGAUGAAGCUUGACGACAUAGGCCUAAACGAUUUUAAGUGUUUUAUUUACUCAGCGCUGCAAAAUUACAUAUUAAAUAGAUUUUCUUAGUUCUUGCACGACCUCCCAGAGUGGCUGCUACAGAUGGGUUUGGAUAUCUGAAUGUUGAGUUGUUUGCGAGGUCUAUUUGUGUUCAAAUCAUAUACAUUUUACCCUUAAGUUAGGUUAAAGCGUAUGAAUAGCCAAACUGUUAUCAUGUUUAACAUCUAUGUAUUACCAUUAAUCAUGUGUCUGUAGAUUUUAACGAAAGCAAUGGGGCUGUUUGACACUAAAAUGUUCACUCAUUGAGGGUAACGUGUGAAUGCUGAAAUCAAGCACGAACAUAUACGAAUCAUGCAUCUAAGAUUUUUCUGCUGCGAUUUGCAUAACACUCCUGAAUGUUGAAGUUUAGAGGGGUAAUCUCUGACAGUGUUUGAUUAUUGAUAUAAAGGAUCUUGACACAAGCUAAUUCUUUGAACUCUACUUCGAAACAUGUGAUCUUUUAUUAACUGAAUGAAAAGAUAAUUCUGUGGUAGUUUUGCCCUCAACUAUUUCCAUGGUUGUGAUUAUGUGCUUGGACUUGAUAGAAAGGCAUAUGAGUCGUUCAUCGGAACUCAGAUUUGUGUUGACCUUGGAUUGCUGCAAUCUAUAUCUUCCAAAAUGUUUAUUGAAUCUUAAGGGGUGUAACUCAGAUUUUCAAACUGACCCUUCAUCGGAAUAUCUUUCAUUUGUCAUAGCAUGUAGGCGCCUGUAUGCGUGCUUCACAAAUGUUUGGAUGAGUUCUAUUGUUUCACAUUUAUGACCUUCACUUAUUAGGACAUGACUUGCUGGUUAGUGAACCUCAACUGGGAGGGAGGAGGCAAAGAAAAAAUGCAUUUUGGUCGAUUCAUGGGUUAAGCAGAACAAUGUUAUUUUUCGUUACUCUAUGUGACAUGUUUCUUUUUAUUUUAGGCUUGGUGUUUCCCUUUUUCUUGUUAUUUUUAAAAUUAUGCCUAUGUAUUGAAUUCUUGUCAUGGGGGACUUUUUGCCUAGUAAGUGUAGUCCCCAACUCACGGUGAUAAUCGAUGUGCCAGCUAGAUCUCGAGUAACCCUUUUGUUUUAGUUGAGUACAAUCCUUUGAAAUUAGAGUCGAGGUGCACAG